GUGCAUUCUUUUAAACCCCCCUGUAGUUUUGGAUAGCUGCUGGGACAAGGAAGAAUGCAAGAGCAACAUUCACCUAGAUGUAUCCAAAGUGAAGAGUCUGUAACAGUGCCUCUUUACUAUUUCACAUCUAGGACAUUACU